rnacentral:rRNA from 1 species
AUUGAACGCUGGCGGCAUGCCUUACACAUGCAAGUCGAACGGUAACGCGGGGCAACCUGGCGACGAGUGGCGAACGGGUGAGUAAUGUAUCGGAACGUGCCCAGUUGUGGGGGAUAACUGCUCGAAAGAGCAGCUAAUACCGCAUACGACCUGAGGGUGAAAGCGGGGGAUCGCAAGACCUCGCGCAAUUGGAGCGGCCGAUAUCAGAUUAGGUAGUUGGUGGGGUAAAGGCUCACCAAGCCAACGAUCUGUAGCUGGUCUGAGAGGACGACCAGCCACACUGGGACUGAGACACGGCCCAGACUCCUACGGGAGGCAGCAGUGGGGAAUUUUUGACAAUGGACGCAAGUCUGAUCCAGCCAUGCCGCGUGCGGGAAGAAGGCCUUCGGGUUGUAAAGCUCUUUCGGCAGGAACGAAACGGCGAGCUCUAACAUAGCUUGCUAAUGACGGUACCUGAAGAAGAAGCACCGGCUAACUACGUGCCAGCAGCCGCAGUAACAC